UACGCAGGCGGCUUGUUAAGUCGGGUGUGAAAGCCCAGGGCUCAACCCUGGAAUUGCGCCCGAUACUGGCAGGCUUGAGUACGGGAGAGGGGAGCGGAAUUCCUGGUGUAGAGGUGAAAUUCGUAGAUAUCAGGAGGAACACCAGUGGCGAAAGCGGCUUCCUGGCCCGAUACUGACGCUCAUGUACGAAAGCGUGGGGAGCAAACA
rnacentral:rRNA from 1 species